rnacentral:lncRNA from 1 species
AGGCAUUGAGGCAGCCAGCGCAGGGGCUUCUGCUGAGGGGGCAGGCGGAGCUUGAGGAAACCGCAGAUAAGUUUUUUUCUCUUUGAAAGAUAGAGAUUAAUACAACUACUUAAAAAAUAUAGUCAAUAGGUUACUAAGAUAUUGCUUAGCGUUAAGUUUUUAACGUAAUUUUAAUAGCUUAAGAUUUUAAGAGAAAAUAUGAAGACUUAGAAGAGUAGCAUGAGGAAGGAAAAGAUAAAAGGUUUCUAAAACAUGACGGAGGUUGAGAUGAAGCUUCUUCAUGGAGUAAAAAAUGUAUUUAAAAGAAAAUUGAGAGAAAGGACUACAGAGCCCCGAAUUAAUACCAAUAGAAGGGCAAUGCUUUUAGAUUAAAAUGAAGGUGACUUAAACAGCUUAAAGUUUAGUUUAAAAGUUGUAGGUGAUUAAAAGACCUUGAAAUCCAUGACGCAGGGAGAAUUGCGUCAUUUAAAGCCUAGUUAACGCAUUUACUAAACGCAGACGAAAAUGGAAAGAUUAAUUGGGAGUGGUAGGAUGAAACAAUUUGGAGAAGAUAGAAGUUUGAAGUGGAAAACUGGAAGACAGAACUGGGGGAAGUUAAAUAUGAGCCACUGGGUGUACCAGUGCAUUAAUUUGGGCAAGGAAAGUGUCAUAAUUUGAUACUGUAUCUGUUUUCCUUCAAAGUAUAGAGCUUUUGGGGAAGGAAAGUAUUGAACUGGGGGUUGGUCUGGCCUACUGGGCUGACAUUAACUACAAUUAUGGGAAAUGCAAAAGUUGUUUGGAUAUGGUAGUGUGUGGUUCUCUUUUGGAAUUUUUUUCAGGUGAUUUAAUAAUAAUUUAAAACUACUAUAGAAACUGCAGAGCAAAGGAAGUGGCUUAAUGAUCCUGAAGGGAUUUCUUCUGAUGGUAGCUUUUGUAUUAUCAAACUUUUUUCAGAUAACAUCUUCUGAGUCAUAACCAGCCUGGCAGUAUGAUGGCCUAGAUGCAGAGAAAACAGCUCCUUGGUGAAUUGAUAAGUAAAGGCAGAAAAGAUUAUAUGUCAUACCUCCAUUGGGGAAUAAGCAUAACCCUGAGAUUCUUACUACUGAUGAGAACAUUAUCUGCAUAUGCCAAAAAAUUUUAAGCAAAUGAAAGCUACCAAUUUAAAGUUACGGAAUCUACCAUUUUAAAGUUAAUUGCUUGUCAAGCUAUAACCACAAAAAUAAUGAAUUGAUGAGAAAUACAAUGAAGAGGCAAUGUCCAUCUCAAAAUACUGCUUUUACAAAAGCAGAAUAAAAGCGAAAAGAAAUGAAAAUGUUACACUACAUUAAUCCUGGAAUAAAAGAAGCCGAAAUAAAUGAGAGAUGAGUUGGGAUCAAGUGGAUUGAGGAGGCUGUGCUGUGUGCCAAUGUUUCGUUUGCCUCAGACAGGUAUCUCUUCGUUAUCAGAAGAGUUGCUUCAUUUCAUCUGGGAGCAGAAAACAGCAGGCAGCUGUUAACAGAUAAGUUUAACUUGCAUCUGCAGUAUUGCAUGUUAGGGAUAAGUGCUUAUUUUUAAGAGCUGUGGAGUUCUUAAAUAUCAACCAUGGCACUUUCUCCUGACCCCUUCCCUAGGGGAUUUCAGGAUUGAGAAAUUUUUCCAUCGAGCCUUUUUAAAAUUGUAGGACUUGUUCCUGUGGGCUUCAGUGAUGGGAUAGUACACUUCACUCAGAGGCAUUUGCAUCUUUAAAUAAUUUCUUAAAAGCCUCUAAAGUGAUCAGUGCCUUGAUGCCAACUAAGGAAAUUUGUUUAGCAUUGAAUCUCUGAAGGCUCUAUGAAAGGAAUAGCAUGAUGUGCUGUUAGAAUCAGAUGUUACUGCUAAAAUUUACAUGUUGUGAUGUAAAUUGUGUAGAAAACCAUUAAAUCAUUCAAAAUAAUAAACUAUUUUUAUUAGAGAAUGUAUACUUUUAGAAAGCUGUCUCCUUAUUUAAAUAAAAUAGUGUUUGUCUGUAGUUCAGUGUUGGGGCAAUCUUGGGGGGGAUUCUUCUCUAAUCUUUCAGAAACUUUGUCUGCGAACACUCUUUAAUGGACCAGAUCAGGAUUUGAGCGGAAGAACGAAUGUAACUUUAAGGCAGGAAAGACAAAUUUUAUUCUUCAUAAAGUGAUGAGCAUAUAAUAAUUCCAGGCACAUGGCAAUAGAGGCCCUCUAAAUAAGGAAUAAAUAACCUCUUAGACAGGUGGGAGAUUAUGAUCAGAGUAAAAGGUAAUUACACAUUUUAUUUCCAGAAAGUCAGGGGUCUAUAAAUUGACAGUGAUUAGAGUAAUACUUUUUCACAUUUCCAAAGUUUGCAUGUUAACUUUAAAUGCUUACAAUCUUAGAGUGGUAGGCAAUGUUUUACACUAUUGACCUUAUAUAGGGAAGGGAGGGGGUGCCUGUGGGGUUUUAAAGAAUUUUCCUUUGCAGAGGCAUUUCAUCCUUCAUGAAGCCAUUCAGGAUUUUGAAUUGCAUAUGAGUGCUUGGCUCUUCCUUCUGUUCUAGUGAGUGUAUGAGACCUUGCAGUGAGUUUAUCAGCAUACUCAAAAUUUUUUUCCUGGAAUUUGGAGGGAUGGGAGGAGGGGGUGGGGCUUACUUGUUGUAGCUUUUUUUUUUUUUACAGACUUCACAGAGAAUGCAGUUGUCUUGACUUCAGGUCUGUCUGUUCUGUUGGCAAGUAAAUGCAGUACUGUUCUGAUCCCGCUGCUAUUAGAAUGCAUUGUGAAACGACUGGAGUAUGAUUAAAAGUUGUGUUCCCCAAUGCUUGGAGUAGUGAUUGUUGAAGGAAAAAAUCCAGCUGAGUGAUAAAGGCUGAGUGUUGAGGAAAUUUCUGCAGUUUUAAGCAGUCGUAUUUGUGAUUGAAGCUGAGUACAUUUUGCUGGUGUAUUUUUAGGUAAAAUGCUUUUUGUUCAUUUCUGGUGGUGGGAGGGGACUGAAGCCUUUAGUCUUUUCCAGAUGCAACCUUAAAAUCAGUGACAAGAAACAUUCCAAACAAGCAACAGUCUUCAAGAAAUUAAACUGGCAAGUGGAAAUGUUUAAACAGUUCAGUGAUCUUUAGUGCAUUGUUUAUGUGUGGGUUUCUCUCUCCCCUCCCUUGGUCUUAAUUCUUACAUGCAGGAACACUCAGCAGACACACGUAUGCGAAGGGCCAGAGAAGCCAGACCCAGUAAGAAAAAAUAGCCUAUUUACUUUAAAUAAACCAAACAUUCCAUUUUAAAUGUGGGGAUUGGGAACCACUAGUUCUUUCAGAUGGUAUUCUUCAGACUAUAGAAGGAGCUUCCAGUUGAAUUCACCAGUGGACAAAAUGAGGAAAACAGGUGAACAAGCUUUUUCUGUAUUUACAUACAAAGUCAGAUCAGUUAUGGGACAAUAGUAUUGAAUAGAUUUCAGCUUUAUGCUGGAGUAACUGGCAUGUGAGCAAACUGUGUGGGCGCUAAGCCUUUUUUUAAGAUUUUUCAGGUACCCCUCACUAAAGGCACCGAAGGCUUAAAGUAGGACAACCAUGGAGCCUUCCUGUGGCAGGAGAGACAACAAAGCGCUAUUAUCCUAAGGUCAAGAGAAGUGUCAGCCUCACCUGAUUUUUAUUAGUAAUGAGGACUUGCCUCAACUCCCUCUUUCUGGAGUGAAGCAUCCGAAGGAAUGCUUGAAGUACCCCUGGGCUUCUCUUAACAUUUAAGCAAGCUGUUUUUAUAGCAGCUCUUAAUAAUAAAGCCCAAAUCUCAAGCGGUGCUUGAAGGGGAGGGAAAGGGGGAAAGCGGGCAACCACUUUUCCCUAGCUUUUCCAGAAGCCUGUUAAAAGCAAGGUCUCCCCACAAGCAACUUCUCUGCCACAUCGCCACCCCGUGCCUUUUGAUCUAGCACAGACCCUUCACCCCUCACCUCGAUGCAGCCAGUAGCUUGGAUCCUUGUGGGCAUGAUCCAUAAUCGGUUUCAAGGUAACGAUGGUGUCGAGGUCUUUGGUGGGUUGAACUAUGUUAGAAAAGGCCAUUAAUUUGCCUGCAAAUUGUUAACAGAAGGGUAUUAAAACCACAGCUAAGUAGCUCUAUUAUAAUACUUAUCCAGUGACUAAAACCAACUUAAACCAGUAAGUGGAGAAAUAACAUGUUCAAGAACUGUAAUGCUGGGUGGGAACAUGUAACUUGUAGACUGGAGAAGAUAGGCAUUUGAGUGGCUGAGAGGGCUUUUGGGUGGGAAUGCAAAAAUUCUCUGCUAAGACUUUUUCAGGUGAACAUAACAGACUUGGCCAAGCUAGCAUCUUAGCGGAAGCUGAUCUCCAAUGCUCUUCAGUAGGGUCAUGAAGGUUUUUCUUUUCCUGAGAAAACAACACGUAUUGUUUUCUCAGGUUUUGCUUUUUGGCCUUUUUCUAGCUUAAAAAAAAAAAAAGCAAAAGAUGCUGGUGGUUGGCACUCCUGGUUUCCAGGACGGGGUUCAAAUCCCUGCGGCGUCUUUGCUUUGACUACUAAUCUGUCUUCAGGACUCUUUCUGUAUUUCUCCUUUUCUCUGCAGGUGCUAGUUCUUGGAGUUUUGGGGAGGUGGGAGGUAACAGCACAAUAUCUUUGAACUAUAUACAUCCUUGAUGUAUAAUUUGUCAGGAGCUUGACUUGAUUGUAUAUUCAUAUUUACACGAGAACCUAAUAUAACUGCCUUGUCUUUUUCAGGUAAUAGCCUGCAGCUGGUGUUUUGAGAAGCCCUACUGCUGAAAACUUAACAAUUUUGUGUAAUAAAAAUGGAGAAGCUCUAAAUUGUUGUGGUUCUUUUGUGAAUAAAAAAAUCUUGAUUGGGGAAAAAAGAUGGGUGUUCUGUGGGCUUGUUCUGUUAAAUCUGUGGUCUAUAAACACAGCACCCAUAAUUACAGCAUAAUCUUCAAGUAGGGUACGGACUUUGGGGGAUUGGUGCGAGGGUAGUGGGUGAGUGGCCUACUAAAAAGCCCAGUAACCCCCACAGGAAAAUAGGGAACUUCUUUUUAAGUAGCCUCCUUUCCACUAUUUAGUAAUUGGCUGUGAGCUGGGCUGGGGGAGAAAUGGGGCGGGGUGUGUGUGUCAUUGGAAAGCUCUCUUUUUUGUUUUUUUGAGACAGUCUCACUUUGUCCCCCAGGCUGGAGUGUAGUGGCAUGAUCUCUGCAAACUGCAACCUCCACUUCUGGGGUCCAAGUGGUUGUCCUGCUUCACCCUCCCUGUAGCUGGGACUACAGGUGCACACCACCACGCCUGGCUAAUUUUUGUAUUUUCAGUUAGAGACGUGGUUUUACCAUAUUGGCCAGGCUGGUCUCAAACUCCUGACCUCGUGUGAUCCACCCGCCUGGGCCUCUGAAAGUGCUGGGAUUACAGGUGUGAGCCACCAAGCCUGGCCGAUCCUUUUAAGUUUUUAAACCAGUUAAGCUCUUUGGUUCCCCCUCAGAGUCCCAAGGUCCUGGGUCACUCAGGAUCACAUUUUCCUUUAAUCAGUUGUCACUGGUCCCCUUUUGUCCCUUUGAACGUGCUGUGGGAUUAGUAGCAGCAUCUGGCUGUUGGAAGGACUGGCUGGGAUCUCAGGUGAAAUACCCUCCCUGGCCCUCCUUACCCUUAAGAUCUCCCUGAAAAGUCAGACCUUGCUUAUUGGAGUUUGAGAUGCAUUCUAGUAAACCCAGACCUACCAGAGAGAGGGACCCACGUCUGAAGAAUCUUCCAGCCUGGGGAACCUGUGACUGGCCACACCCUUAGCCUAAUGGAGGGGCCUCAGAAGCAGAACUACCUUUUUUUUUUUUUUUAAUGGUAUUACAUUUUGCAAAUGGAGAGGUAGACUCUGAUUGGGCCCCUUUUGACAACGCAGCAGAGCUGAGGUUUGAAUCCUAGUCAGUCAACACUUCAACCCCUAUGUUGCUGUUUCUUCAAUGUCUAGAAUGUUCUGAUAGAUGAAGCAAUGGCCCGGCAGGUCAGCAGCACACCAACCCCCAACCUACCCAGCCUGUAUAGGCCUUGGCCACAGGAGCUUUCUCUUCCCUUGAAGUGAUCUAAUGGGGGAUGGGGUAUCUGUCUCGCUGGUUAUGAAAGAAGCUGAGCUAGGUGCUCUCCUAAGUUGCUUAAGUGUCUUCUGAAUUGAUGCCCAGUCAGUUUCGUAUGGAGAAAGGUCUCUGUUUUUCCAAAGCAGAAGGUUCUGUGGAAGCACAAAUACUUUACUGGAGAGCAAAGGAGUACGAGUAGGAAUUGGGGGCCACGCACAGUGGCUCACGCCUAUAAUCCCAGGACUUUGGGAGGCCGAGGUGGGCAGAUCACCUGAGGUCAGGAGUUCGAGACCAGCCUGACCAACAUGGAGAAACCCCAUCUCUACUAAAAAUACAAAAUUAGCCGGGCGUGGUGGCGUAUGUCUGUAACCCCAGCUAUUCGAGAGGCUGAGGUAGGAGAAUCGCUUGGACCCGGGAGGCGGAGGUUGCAGUGAGCUGAGAUUGCGCCACUGCACUCCAGCCUGGGCAACAAGAGCGAAACUGUCUCAAAAAAAAAAAAAAAAGAAGAAGAAAGGCUGGGCACGGUGGCUCAAGCCUGUAAUCCCAGCACUUUGGGAGGCCGAGGCGGGCGGAUCACGAAGUCAGGAGAUUGAAACCAUCCUGGCUAACACGGUGAAACCCCGUCUCUACUACACACACACACACACACACACACACACACACACACACACACACAAUUUGCUGGGCGUGGUGGAGGGCGCCUGUAGUCCUAGCUACUCGUGAGGCUGAGGCAGGAGAAUGGCGUGAACCUGGGAGGC